rnacentral:rRNA from 1 species
UUUUGGACAAUGGGCGAAAGCCUGAUCCAGCAAUGCCGCGUGCAGGAAGAAGGCCUUCGGGUUGUAAACUGCUUUUGUACGGAACGAAACGGUCUGCCCUAAUACGGCGGGCUAAUGACGGUACCGUAAGAAUAAGCACCGGCUAACUACGUGCCAGCAGCCGCGGUAAUACGUAGGGUGCGAGCGUUAAUCGGAAUUACUGGGCGUAAAGCGUGCGCAGGCGGUUAUGUAAGACAGUUGUGAAAUCCCCGGGCUCAACCUGGGAAUUGCAUCUGUGACUGCAUAGCUAGAGUACGGUAGAGGGGGAUGGAAUUCCGCGUGUAGCAGUGAAAUGCGUAGAUAUGCGGAGGAACACCGAUGGCGAAGGCAAUCCCCUGGACCUGUACUGACGCUCAUGCACGAAA